CCCGCCUUCGGGCGGUGAUCAGUGGCGAACGGGUGAGUAACACGUGGGUAACCUGCCCUCCACUCUGGGAUAACUCCGGGAAACCGGGGCUAAUACCGGAUACGAGCCUUGACCGCAUGGUCGGGGUUGGAAAGUUUUUCGGUGGAGGAUGGACCCGCGGCCUAUCAGCUUGUUGGUGGGGUAAUGGCCUACCAAGGCUUUGACGGGUAGCCGGCCUGAGAGGGCGACCGGCCACACUGGGACUGAGACACGGCCCAG
rnacentral:rRNA from 1 species